rnacentral:piRNA from 1 species
UAUGAAUUCCAAUCACAUGAACGAGGU